rnacentral:rRNA from 1 species
UAGGUAAUUUACCUUCCGGCGGGGGACAACAGUCCGAAAGGAUUGCUAAUACCGCAUACGUCGGCGAGGUCUCCGGACCUUGUCGGGAAAGAUGGCCUCUCCUUGGAAGCUGUCACCGGAAGAUGAACCUGCGGCCCAUCAGCUUGUUGGUGAGGUAACGGCUCACCAAGGCUAAGACGGGUAGCUGGUCUGAGAGGAUGAUCAGCCACACUGGGACUGCGACACGGCCCAGAUCCGUACGGGG